rnacentral:rRNA from 1 species
GACGAACGCUGGCGGCGUGCUUAACACAUGCAAGUCGAACGGUAAGGCCCUUCGGGGUACACGAGUGGCGAACGGGUGAGUAACACGUGGGUGAUCUGCCCUGCACUUCGGGAUAAGCCUGGGAAACUGGGUCUAAUACCGGAUAGGACCACUGCCUGCAUGGGUGGUGGUGGAAAGCUUUUGCGGUGAGGGAUGGGCCCGCGGCCUAUCAGCUUGUUGGUGAGGAAGUGGCUCACCAAGGCGACGACGGGUAGCCGGCCUGAGAGGGCGACCGGCCACACUGGGACUGAGACACGGCCCAGACUCCUACGGGAGGCAGCGGUGGGGAAUAUUGCGCAAUGGGCGAAAGCCUGACGCAGCAACGCCGCGUGCGGGAUGACGGCCUUCGGGUUGUAAACCGCUCUCAGCAGGGAAGAAGCCGCAAGGUGACGGUACCUGCAGAAGAAGCACCGGCUAACUACGUGCCAGCAGCCGCAGUAA